rnacentral:rRNA from 1 species
UACGUAGGGUGCAAGCGUUAUCCGGAAUUAUUGGGCGUAAAGAGCUCGUAGGCGGUUUGUCGCGUCUGCUGUGAAAACUGGGGGCUCAACCCCCAGCCUGCAGUGGGUACGGGCAAACUAGAGUGCGGUAGGGGAGAUUGGAAUUCCUGGUGUAGCGGUGGAAUGCGCAGAUAUCAGGAGGAACACCAAUGGCGAAGGCAGAUCUCUGGGCCGUAACUGACGCUGAGGAGCGAAAGCAUGGGGAGCGAACAGG